rnacentral:sRNA from 1 species
GCUGGCGGCUCCGCGACCAGCUUUGUUUUUUUGGUUGGGCAUGCUGCUUACCGCAAGAUGAUGGAAGGGACGGCCCGUACAAAGACAGAAGCGUUGGUUUCAUGCAGUAGUGUGGUUGACGGUAAUUUUGAAGAAGUUCCCAGGGAGACGGCAAUUCAGUUUAAACCUCCACUAUACAGACAGCGGUACCAGUUCGUUAAAAAUUUAGUGGAUCAACAUGAGCCUAAGAAGGGAUUCGUUAGCUCCUUUCCUGGGGGAUUUUCUGAAACCUCGGGAUCUGAAUUUGACCAUCACAUUGUAUCAUGGCUCCGUUGUGGAGAGAGACUCUCGUUUGCUUGGAUUUGACUUGAUAACGUGUAUUGAAUUAAUAGAACAUUUGGAUUCAGGUGAUCUGGCCAGAUUUCCUGAAGUGGUAUUUGGGUACCUGUCUCCAUCCAUGAUUGUCAUCAGCACACCAAACUCUGAAUUCAAUCCCCUGUUUCCAUCAGUGACCUUAAGAGAUUCAGAUCAUAAAUUUGAGUGGACCAGAAUGGAGUUUCAGACCUGGGCUUUAUAUGUGGCAAAUCGCUAUGAUUACUCUGUGGAGUUUACUGGUGUCGGGGAACCACCAGCUGGAGCUGAGAAUGUUGGAUACUGUACCCAGAUAGGAAUCUUCCGGAAAAAUGGAGGAAAGGCAACAGAAUCAUGUCUUUCAGAGCAGCAUGAUCAGCAUGUUUAUAAAGCUGUUUUUACCACCUCAUACCCAAGCUUACAGCAGGAAAGGUUCUUUAAACUUGUGUUGGUUAAUGAGGUGUCCCAACAAGUGGAAAGCUUAAGAGUGAG